rnacentral:rRNA from 1 species
CAACUCGACUACAUGAAGCUGGAAUCGCUAGUAAUCGCGAAUCAGAAUGUCGCGGUGAAUACGUUCCCGGGUCUUGUACACACCGCCCGUCACACCAUGGGAGUCAGUAACGCCCGAAGCCGGUGACCCAACCGAUAAGGAGGGAGCCGUCGAAGGUGGGACCGAUAACUGGGGUGAAGUCGUAACAAGGUAAC